UACAGAGGGGGCAAGCGUUGUUCGGAAUUACUGGGCGUAAAGGGCGCGUAGGCGGCCUUCUAAGUCGAACGUGAAAUCCCCGGGCUCAACCCGGGAACUGCGUCCGAUACUGGAAGGCUUGAAUCCGGGAGAGGGAUGCGGAAUUCCAGGUGUAGCGGUGAAAUGCGUAGAUAUCGUUUGGAACGCCAAUGGUGAAAACAAGUAGCUGGGAGUGUGCCGACGCUGAGACACGAAAGCCAGGGGAGCAAACAGG
rnacentral:rRNA from 1 species